rnacentral:rRNA from 1 species
UACGUAGGGUGCGAGCGUUAAUCGGAAUUACUGGGCGUAAAGCGUGCGCAGGCGGUGAUGUAAGACAGGUGUGAAAUCCCCGGGCUUAACCUGGGAACUGCCUUUGUGACUGCAAGGCUUGAGUGCGGCAGAGGGGGAUGGAAUUCCGCGUGUAGCAGUGAAAUGCGUAGAUAUGCGGAGGAACACCGAUGGCGAAGGCAAUCCCCUGGGCCUGCACUGACGCUCAUGCACGAAAGCGUGGGGAGCAAACAGG